rnacentral:rRNA from 1 species
UACAGAGGGGGCGAGCGUUGUUCGGAAUUACUGGGCGUAAAGGGCGCGUAGGCGGCCUGCUAAGUCAUACGUGAAAUCCCUCGGCUCAACCGGGGAACUGCGUGUGAUACUGGCGGGCUUGAAUCCGGGAGAGGAAUGCGGAAUUCCAGGUGUAGCGGUGAAAUGCGUAGAUAUCUGGAGGAACACCGGUGGCGAAGGCGGCAUCCUGGACCGACACUGACGCUGAGGAGCGAAAGCCAGGGGAGCAAACAGG